UUAUUCUUUAAGCGUGUUUAUUUAGGUAAGCAAACAGACCCACGCCUGCGCGGCGUUGGAGGUGGACUUCACGUUGAAGAAGGUCUGUUUACGAAUGUGCACUGCGCGCAGGUGUGAAGUACGGCAGUUGGGCCCCGGUGGUCCCCAUAUUGAGGGUUGGACCCACCAUCGAAGAAGGUGGUUGGCAGUUGCCCAAAAGUACUUAAGGGCUGACCGCGCCGAGCUGUGACAAGCUAUUGCCACAAGAGCCUAGCCAAGUACAAGAGUAAGCCCCCCAACCGACUGCCAAGUCACACAUGCUCAAGUGAGCCGUCUGUCUGUGUUCCAAUCUUUGAAUAGGUAGUGCCGGCCGUAGGCCAGGCACGGCGCACGGUCGCGCCCUUUAGGUUUCUGUGUUUGAUUGCUCUGCGGGACCCAACCCCAGUGCCUUCUUUGUAAGCGUCAAGUAAUACUACCGGUACACGGUCUUUGCCUGUCCCGCCUUCCUCUCUAACUCCCACUCAGCGUCUCAGACCUGAGACGCUGAGCAAGUCAGCCUUAGCUAUUGGAAUAGUCAGCAACAAGUCAGCGAGUGUUCUGCUUGCGUGUAUAUCCGUUUCCCUUCCCGGCACACAGGUUCUCCCUGCCAGGGGUAUCAAGUCAAGUCCCGACCAAGACUCCUUUCCCUACCGCCUCCUCACCACCUACUCUCACCCUCAAUCCCUCGUCUAGUCUUCUUCUUCUCUUCGAGUGUCCAUCGCCUACUUCUGUAUACUAUCGUGUCUGUCUCGCUCGUGUGUGAGCGCAAGCCACGUGUUAGGUGUGUCGCGUGUCAGUCAGGUCUUCCCAUACCUGUGAACGCUAGUGUACCGGUAUACUGAACCAAGGGAAGGUCAAAUCGUAGUGGGUCUGUCUUCAUACAGCUGCUGCGUGGCUCUAGAGACUCGGUGACGCCUGCGCCAGUACGUGAAAAAAUCUGGGUUCCUGUAUAUAGGGCUCGCGCGUCUUUUGAUGCUACAAGGAAGCCUAAUGAAGAUUUGUAGCUCUUCCGUUUGUGAACUUUGGCUGAUAGCGCGAGGAGCAACAGGUGAACCGUUGCCAGAGCCACCAGCACUAACACUAAUGUUAACAUUGACAGCACUACGUGCGCAGUAAGCGCUGAGGUGGGUUGGUCGGCCGGGAGCCAUACAAGCCCGCUGUGAAGCGCGCUCUGAAGGCCCCAGGCCGCCACCAACGGAACAAGGCCCGUUGGCAGACGUAUCAUGAGUGAUUCAUGAGUUCGUCAGUCAUGUUUAUGUUUACAAGAGAAUAGAGGUCAAACGAGGCAAGGGGCAAACACUUGGUGGUGGGCGACCGAUUGCACCGGUGUCACCGAUGCUCGCCUGUGCCAAUGCCUUUGCUUACUGUAUCUAGGCUUAUAGGCUUAUUGUAAGCAGUAUCGUCACAUAUCGGCUGGCUGGCGCAGGCUGGCUGAACUGCGUCUCAAGGUUGGUUGGGGCGACGGGGUAGGGGCGGGGCUGGCCAGCCCGCCCGGGUGCAGGGCCAGGGGUGCAGGGGCUGGCGGCAGCAGGCGCAGGUGCAGGGGCCAAUCUGCCCAUGACAGCCCACAUACUGCCGGGCAAGGCUACAUUUGUCACAAUAGCAGUAUAGGCUAGUGUAAAACACCGUGCGCACCACGGUAUGGGUCCCCUUCAAAGUAGUUCGCGCCACUGUUCACGUCUCAGCACUCGUGUCACGAUACGCGGCCAGACGCCCCCUGACGCAUCCUGACGCGCUCAGACGCGCUGAGACGCGCCGAGACACGAGUUUCCCGUCGUUACAGUGCUCUUGGGUAGCUGCAGUGAGCGCGAGUACCAAUGGCAUGUGUGGCUGUGUGUGCAUGGGCUGGGAGGGAUGGUUCACGCUGUAGGUAAUAAAUGUGGCAAGCAGCCAUCUGUGUAUGUGCAGGGCCCACCCGGCGUGCUGAAUUGCUUGUGUGUCGUGCCAAGUGGAGGGACUUCCCCAAGUUGUGCAUCAUGAUAAGCCCCACGGUACGUGGGCUUCACUGCUACCCCGUGCAGCGUGCGUGCCAACCCAUAGCCAACCAGGCAGCGGGAUGGGAACACGCUGGCAAUUCCCUCCAAACGUGACGUCCGCGGCUCCCCCUGUGCCUAUCCCGACACCCACACGCAUACUGGUUCGAGAAAGUGCGUCAACGAUGUCCACGUACGUAAGGUGUUAACCAAAUCCCACUGCACUGCCCUGCAGCGCUCCGUGCCAUUUGCAUACCGCUUCACCAGUUCCUUGCCACACAUACUGAACUGUGUCCUCAGCAACUACCUCCACCUCUGCAACAGUGCUUUGAUGCUAGCUGCUAACAGCCAGCCUCCGCCACUGCUGCCGCUUUGGUUGAGUACUGCAUUUAGUGUAUCCCAUGUGCUGAAUGCAUAUUUGCUAACGUGUUGUAUGUCCCUAUGCAUGGCGGCAACCUAUGAUUAGCUACCGGCAUGCGUACACACGCGCUAUGCGACACAGGCUGCUG
rnacentral:lncRNA from 1 species